AGCGAACGCUGGCGGCAGGCCUAACACAUGCAAGUCGAACGAACCUUUCGGGGUUUGUGGCGGACGGGUGAGUAACACGUGGGAACGUGCCUUUAGGUUCGGAAUAACUCAGGGAAACUUGUGCUAAUACCGAAUGUGCCCUUCGGGGGAAAGAUUUAUCGCCUUUAGAGCGGCCCGCGUCUGAUUAGCUAGUUGGUUGAGGUAAUGGCUCACCAAGGCGACGAUCAGUAGCUGGUCUGAGAGGAUGAUCAGCCACAUUGGGACUGAGACACGGCCCAAACUCCUACGGGAGGCAGCAGUGGGGAAUCUUGCGCAAUGGGCGAAAGCCUGACGCAGCCAUGCCGCGUGAAUGAUGAAGGUCUUAGGAUUGUAAAAUUCUUUCACCGGGGACGAUAAUGACGGUACCCGGAGAAGAAGCCCCGGCUAACUUCGUG
rnacentral:rRNA from 1 species